ensembl:lncRNA
GGGGGGGGUUGGGUUACGUUGGGGUGUCCCGGCGAGAAUAGGACCGACCGGGACCAUGGACACUUCCUGGUCCUCCAGAGGCAGUCGACACACAAACUGGGGGGAGCUUCCCUUCACUGCUGUCUGCGAGGAGAGGAACUAGACCCUCAUAGACUAGACCCCCAUGGACUAGACCCUCAUGGAGAAAACCCCCAUGGAGUACAACUCCAAGAACUAGACCAAUUAUCUCUAGGGCCCCAUGAGAAGACCUCCAUGCAGGAAAACCUCCAGGAUCUCAGGUCCAAAACCUCUCACACAUAUGCACACACGAGCAUAUAUACACACAGAAAUGCACGCAGACAUAAACACAAACACACACAUGUACAUGUAUACACACAUGUAAACAAACAGAUGUAUAAAUAAGGUCCACCAUAAAUGAUACAUAUAUAUAUAUAUAUAUAUAUGUAUAUACAAAUUUUAGAGUCCACACGUACAUGCAGUAUAUGAAGUGUUUUGACUGCCGCAGCAACAGAAGUCCUGAGGGAGCGAGCGAUCGAGCAGCGCUUAGACUGGAGAGAACGAGAAGAAAGCAUCCACAGAGAAACUCCUCAAGUCAUGUAGCAGUUGUUUCGUGUUCCUCGGUGUCUGAAGGACAUCCUCUCAGGACAUCUCAGCAGGUCACUUCCUGGGGGGGGUCAAGGUUGACCUCCUACCUGGAAAUUACAAAAGGACAUCUAUCACCACGGACAUAUUUAACGGACUAGAGUUGUAUCUGUUUGUUUUAGAACUAGCCUCAGUGAAAUGAACGUAGCAUUUAGUAGAGAAAAUACAGAGUCUAAGUCUGUCUGCUUCUGUCCAAACUAAGAGAACAACAAGUAGUGUGAUUAUUUUAUACUUCCUGUGUAUGUGCGUCUGUGUGUGCAUGCAUGUGCGUGUGUACGUGCACGUUUGUGUGUGCACGUGCGUGCAUGUGUGUGUGUGUGCGUGUGGACGAAUGUGAGCGAGUGUGAGCCGCCUCCUAAAGCACAAGCUGUUUUGUAAGGCACGGGUCGGAGCAGCACUUUGUAAAUACGUUGUGCAUCGUCAGGUAGUUCCGCUGCGUCGCGCCCAACCUUUUCUACGAAGACCCUCCUUAAGGCUGUCCCCAGGGUUAGGGUCAGCGGGGGACAAACUGUAUGUAGCAAAACGAUGAAGAUGUAUAGUUUAUUAAGUCGAUAAAUAGGACGUGAUAUGUAUACAAGAUAAGAUUAUUCGAUGUACAGUACAGUAGCAGAUACAUGCACUCUUUGAAGUCCACACUCACCUGUGUCCUGGUGUCACACCUCCUUCCAUCUCUCUGGGUGCUGCCUGCUCCGUCGAUACCUCCUGCCUGCUCUUCUGUCAAUAAAGGUAUAAAUUCAAGCUGGAGGCCAAUUCUGGGUCGAUCACAGACAGCCGGGCUCAGUUCCCCAAGAUACAGAGACAAUAUAUACAAGAUCCAAGACGUAGGGUUAUAUAGGUAAACAUUCAAAAUAGUUUCUGAACACAUGGCUUUGUAUGUAUUGGCCUUCUGAAUGCUUUCUGUGUGCGUGGCAGUAAAUGUGGGGGUCACGCACCACGUCCCCACCAGGUGGAGGUGGUGUGUGUAUGAAGUCCCCACAAGGUGGGUGUGUGUGUGAGGUCCCAACAAGGUGUGUGUGUGUAUGAAGUCCCCACAAGGUGGUUGUGUGUGUGUGUGAAGUCCCCACUAGGUGGGGGUGUGUAUGUGAAGUCCCCACAAGGUGGGGGCGUGUGUGUGAAGUCCCCACAAGGUGGGGGCGUGUGUGUGAAAUCCCCACAAGGUGGGGGUGUGUGUGUGAGGUCCCCACAUGAUGGGGGUGUGUCUGUGAGGUCCCCACAUGAUUGAGGUGGGGUUGGGGCGGUGUGGGGGCAGUCUGGACGGAGAGGAUGUCUGCAGAGAGCUGGUGUCUCAGGGUGUGUGUGGUCGGGACGGUGGCUUGGGUUCAAGGUCAGUACCGGGUCCAAAAGGUGCGGUGUGUUCUUCUGACCGUCCUGACGUCUCCCUGGCUGCUCACGGUUCCGUUUCCUCCAAUGCUCCUUCUACUGUUACACCAGACACAGAAGGGGGGGUGGGGGUUGUGGUUGUGUGUGCGCCUGUUUUUAUGUCUGCAUCGCUGAAUACAUGUACAUGUGAGUAUGUGUUAACACGUGUGUGUGUGUGUGUGUGUGCGUGUCUAUAUAUAAGUGUGUGUGCGCUGUAUGUAAGUGUGUGUGUGUGCGUGUGUUUGUGUGUGCAUGUAUGCGUGUAUCGGUGUGUUUGCGUGCAUCAGUGUGCGUUUGGAUCUAUGUGUGUGUGUUUGUGUUUGUGUGAGAGACCGCUCCGUUUGUCCCUCAGAACCCCAGGCGACGGUAUAUCUCUUUGUCGCCAUAGUGACGGUAGCCGUGCCGCUCAGGCUGGGCUCUUGACAGACCCCCCCCCCCCACCUCUCACUCUCUCCUCCCGGGGAUCGAACCCCAACCUCCAUCAGGGCUGCUAAACGAGCACAGAUUGAACUCCCUGCUCCAGACUCACAUCAGACAGACAAUCUGAUGCUCCGUAUCGAUCAGGAUGAGUCAGCUCAGUACUUCACAUUCCAGAAGUAUUAUUAUUUUUCAUAUAAUCAUCAAAACAUAUUUCACAGUUGACAGGCUUUGCACAGGUUCCCUUCCUCGAGGCUCAAAGAACGCGAGGCUUGAGAUCCCUGCGUUUGACCGUGGGUAAUAUCCAUCCGGGAACAUUGAAACCAUCUUCUGCAAACACGCAUGUCAGAACGUUUUUAUCCACUGCUCGAUCCUGGCUCGAAGACGAGGCACACUUCCACUCUGUUAAUAACGUGAUAGUGUUUCGUGAUAACUUCGCUCAUCUGUACAAACGUUAAUGAAAGCAGAGCAGGGGUCAGAUAACGAGCAUCUAAGCCUCGGAGAGAGUCUUUCCUUGAAGCUUAGCCAGAAAGUUAGCAUCACGUAUCGUUUUAGCCUUGGAAAUAGACUGUUCCAGAGUCCUGGCCAAAGAGUUUGUAUCUGCUAGCAUUUUAGCUCUGAAGUUAGCAUCUUAAUAGCGUUUUAAGCCCCAGAGUUAGCAUUUUAAUAGCGUUUUUAGCCCCAGAGUUAGCAUCUUAAUAGUGUUAUUAGCCCCAGAGUUAGCAUUUGAAUAGCGUUUUUAGCCCCAGAGUUAGCAUCUUAAUAGUGUUAUUAGCCCCAGAGUUAGCAUUUUAAUAGUGUUAUUAGCCCCAGAGUUAGCAUCUUAAUAGUGUUAUUAUCCCCAGAGUUAGCAUCUUGAUAGCGUUUCCAGCCCCAGAGUUAGCAUCUUAAUAGCGUUUCUAGCCCCAGAGUUAGCCUCUCCUUUACUCCGGCCUGUCCAUGGUCCAACAAACUGGUUUUGCAUCGAUGGUUAAGGCCAUCCUCAUGUAUAUACUGUCUGUCCCCAGGCAAAAAGCAGAGAAAUUGUUUAAUAUGUGUUUAAUAAAUACUAUUUGUGUACCUGA